CGCACCUUGCACCUUUUCGGUAUUCCGAAAGGGUAUGCCCGGUUGAGUAUUAUGAACAUCUCAAUCCCUCUGGCUUCUGAUCGUAAAGGUUGUCGCCGAGUUUGGACGAAGUCGUCUGUCGGGACGACGGUAGCUGAAGUACGACUUGGAGGCCUGUUGGACUUGGACUUGAGCGACACGUCGGUCCUCUGGGAUACGUACCCGCUUGAAAUGUAUUAGCUGGCGACCCGCCUUACGGUUCCACUCGGCGUAGUAAGUUCUAUUCGUCGAGGACGCCUCUUUCGAGGUGGCCGAAAGUGUAGGUUUGAAGCCGCUUCCAGUCGUCUUUGGACGCUUUGAAUCUUUAAUCUCAACUCGGGUAGGACUACCCGCUGAACUUAA
rnacentral:rRNA from 1 species